rnacentral:rRNA from 1 species
UACAGAGGGGGCAAGCGUUGUUCGGAAUUACUGGGCGUAAAGGGCGCGUAGGCGGCCGCCUAAGUCAGACGUGAAAUCCCUCGGCUCAACCGGGGAACUGCGUCUGAUACUGGGUGGCUUGAAUCCGGGAGAGGGAUGCGGAAUUCCAGGUGUAGCGGUGAAAUGCGUAGAUAUCUGGAGGAACACCGGUGGCGAAGGCGGCAUCCUGGACCGGCACUGACGCUGAGGCGCGAAAGCCAGGGGAGCAAACGGG